AGACGUUUAGCUGAAAGUUGUGUGCAGUCAGCGUCGUUGAUGAAAAUUAGUGGGGAUACACAGGGACAAAAAAAAACAGCAUGAAGGUUGGCCUCGGCAACGCACAAGCAGUAAGAACAGCACAUCCACUAACUCGGCAGCACAAUCAUCAAACUUGUGCAACCGUGUGCAGUCAAGGAGCAACAAUGGGUCUGUCAACAUCAGCAGUGAUGAUGACGAGCUCCAGUCGCCUGUAGGGUUUCCGGUUCUCUGGUGUACUAGGAAGGUCACAGAACCUUGGUGG